rnacentral:misc_RNA from 1 species
UCUCCGUAGGUGAACCUGCGGAGGGAUCAUUACUGAGUGAGGGCUCACGCCCGACCUCCAACCCUUUGUGAACCAAACUUGUUGCUUCGGGGGCGACCCUGCCGACGACUUUGUCGCCGGGCGCCCCCGGGGGCUCAUCAAACACUGCAUCUUUGCGUCGGAGUUUAAAACAAAUUAAACAAAACUUUCAACAACGGAUCUCUUGGUUCUGGCAUCGAUGAAGAACGCAGC